AAAAAAAUCUUUUUUUUCUUUCUCUCUCUCUCUCUACUCUCCCAGCCGACUCUCUCUCCCACGCCUCGCACUCUCCUCCAAACUUCUCUCUUUGAUUUCAUCUUCAUAGAAGGAGAUUUUGAAAAAAAUCCAAGUAUUAAAGUUGUUCUACGCGACAAGAUCUUCCUAUCGAUCCAAGAAGAAUCAUGAUCGGAGCACUUUGAGGUUUCCUCCAUGUUCAGGCUUGCUUCUAACCUUCGAGGUACUUGCCAUGACACUUAGCUUGGAUUGCAUGGAGUGCACAUUGAGACGUCCCUUGAGAGCUUCAUUGGAAUCAUUAAGGAGGUGUUUUAUCAUCUAGUCUAAUUCAUGUUGUGUACUUUACUUGCAAUUGAAGGUUGUAUCUUUUGGUUAGAACAUAUGUAAAGCUAUGUAUAAACUCCUCUCUUUGAUUAUUGUGAAGCCCUUUUAAUGGAA